UGAUAUGGUAGCUCAACAGUAGAGCACCUGCUUUGCAUGCGGAAGGUCGUAGGUUCAAUCCCCGGCUUCCCCACUUAA